AUUGAACGCUGGCGGCAGGCCUAACACAUGCAAGUCGAACGAGCGGCGGACGGGUGAGUAAUGUAUGGGAAUCUGCCUGAUAGAGGGGGAUAACUACUGGAAACGGUGGCUAAUACCGCAUACCAUCCGAUGAACCCAUAUGUGAUUAGCUAGUUGGUGGGGUAACGGCUCACCAAGGCGGCGAUCCCUAGCUGGUCUGAGAGGAUGACCGGCCACACUGAGAUUGAGACACGGCCCAGACUGCUACGGGAUGCAGCAGUGGGGAAUUGUGGACAAGGGGCGCAAGCCUGAUGCAGCCAUGCCGUGUGGAUGAAGAAGGCCUUAGGGUUGUAAAGUACUUUCAGCGGGGAGGCGUUACCCGCAGAAGAAGCACCGGCUAACUCCGUGCCAGCAGCCGCGGUAAUUC
rnacentral:rRNA from 1 species